rnacentral:rRNA from 1 species
UACGUAGGGUGCGAGCGUUGUCCGGAAUUAUUGGGCGUAAAGGGCUCGUAGGCGGUUUGUCGCGUCGGAAGUGAAAACCCUGGGCUUAACUCAGUGCUUGCUUUCGAUACGGGCAGACUAGAGGUAUGCAGGGGAGAACGGAAUUCCUGGUGUAGCGGUGAAAUGCGCAGAUAUCAGGAGGAACACCGGUGGCGAAGGCGGUUCUCUGGGCAUUACCUGACGCUGAGGAGCGAAAGUGUGGGGAGCGAACAGG